rnacentral:rRNA from 1 species
AUGUUUGUUGAUCUUUCACCAUUGGAUUCUGCCCCGCAAGUUGUUCGCGGUCCGGCCAGUAGGCAUGAGAGGCACUCAAUGGCCUUCACCCCACCGAGCUUCAGCCUUGGCGUCAGUCAAGAUCAACCAGUGGCUCAAGAUCCUAUGCCAGUUGCCUUUGCUUUUCCGAGAGGCAUGCCCACAAUGAUGGCGCAGCCAAUGGUUGAGGGCAGGAAGGCUGUCAAGUUCGCUGAGCCGAUCGUCCAAGGUAUCCUAAACCACAUUUUCAUCCUUGCAGGCACCCUUGAGGAGAUUUCACCGUCUCUUGAUGAAGCUUACCGUAGGAUUGAGGAGUCAGCAUUGCAGAGGAGGUCCUCACGAGGUCAGGGGCAAUCAAGUUCCAAUGUGCCUGCAGAUACGGUAUCUGAGGAUACCAUUAGGAGUGCCACCCCUGGUUCUGUGAGGCAGCAGAGGGUAGUUCACCCACCCCCCGUGGAAGACUACGAGCCUGAAGUCAGGGCCACGAAGGAACAGACCCAGUUGUACGAUAUUGUCAAGCGAUUUGGUAAUGCGAGGGCCAGCAGCAAGCACAUGAAGGAACUGAAAGCGUAA